rnacentral:RNase_P_RNA from 1 species
GAGUUGGCCUUGCAAUCGCUGGUGAUAAAUAUCACGAGAGGAAAGUCCGGGCUCCUUCGGAAAAAGUGCCAGGUAACACCUGGAGGGUGUGAACCCAUGGAUAGUGCAGCAGAAAAUAUACCGCCUAAGUACUCAAGUACCGGUAAGGUUGAAAUGGUGUGGUAAGAGCACACCGCAUAACAGGUAACUGAUUAUGGCAAGGCAAACCCCGUCUGGAGCAAGACCAAAUAGAGACCCUUAAGUUCGUCCUGACUGGGUCAGGGUAGGUUGCUUGAAUUUUACGGCGACGUAAAAUCUAGAUGAAUGAUUAUCCAAGACAGAACCCGGCUUAUAGGCUGACUCAC